rnacentral:lncRNA from 1 species
UUUUUUUUUAAAGAUUUUUAUUUGUUUAUUUGAGAGAGAGAGCACACAAGCAGUGGGAAGGGGCAGAGGGAGACAGAGAAGGAGAAGCAGACUCCCUGCUGAGCAGGGAGCCCCAUGUGGGGCUCAAUCCCAGGACCCCAAGAUCAUGAUCUGAGCGUGAUGCUUAACUGACUGAGCCACCCAGGUGCCCGAGGCUCUUUAAAUAGUAAUGAUAACUACCACCAUUUAUUGAGCACUUACUAUCUGACUGAAAAUAUACUAGAUACUUUACAUAUAUUAUCAGUUCAUUUUUACAACCCUAAGAGGUGGUUAUUUUUCCCAAUUUACAAAUGAGGUAAUUGAGGCCAGAGAUAUUAAGUACCCACCAAAACUCCCACAACUAACAAAGGAUUGAUUGGGAUUAGGGUCCAGGCUAGGCUGAUUCUGGAGCCCAUGGUUUUAUCCAUAACGUUAUACUUAAAGAUAAAUUUUUGAUAGGGGCGCCUGAGUGGCUCAGUAGGUUAGGCAUCCAAGGCAUCCAACUCUUGACUUUGGCUCAGGUCAGGAUCUCAGGGUCAUGAGAUCAAGCCCUGCAUUGGGCACUGUGCUUGGUGUGGAGUCUGCUUAUCCCCCUCCUACACUCUGCUUCUUGCUCUCUCUCUCUAAAUUAAUUUUUUAAAUAUCUUAUUUAUUUAUUCAUGAGAGAAACAGAGAGAGAGGCAGAGACAUAGGUAGAGGGAGAAACAGGUUGUCUGUGGGGAACCUGAUGCAGUACUUGAUCCCAGGACUCCAGGAUCACAACCUGAGCCAAAGGCAGACACUCAACCACCAAGCAACCCAGGUGCCCCUAAAACAAUCUUUUUUUGAAAAAAGAUAAUUUUUUUACAGUAAAAAAGGCACCUCAUGUAGAAAAUAUGAAUGAAAAGAUUUCUCCUUGUCAAAAAUAGGUGUAAAACAGUAAGGACUCAAUCCUUUACCUGCCGUUGUGGUGUGAUCCAACAGCAAGUACAACAGAGUGGAAGUCAGAAACCUGAACUCGAAAGCAGGACCUGGGUAAAACAGCAAAAGCAUUGACUUCAAUAACUAGCUCCUUGUUCCAUAGUACCCUCUGGUGGCCAGUUUAUGUCAUUCAAGAUUAUUCCCUUUUUUUUGCUUUGCUGUUUUGUUUUUUUAUUUUUGAGGUUAUUUCUCUCUUUCUUUGCUAUUUUAUCUUACUUUAUUUUAUUCUUUUAUUUAACAGAGAAUGAGAGAGAGAGGGAGUACAAGCAGGGGGAGUGGUAGGCAGAGGGAGAGGGAGAAGCAGACUCCCCGCUGAGCAGAGAGCUGGACAUGGGGCUUGAUCCCAAGACCCUGAGAUCAUGACCUGAACAGAAGGCACUCAACUAACUGAGCCACUCAGGCACACCAUUCAAGAUUAUUCUUAAAUUUAAGAAUUAAAUGGUAAACAACCAAAGAUUUACUCAGGGUCAACCUUGGAUAAAGUAGAUUGUCUGUCAAAAUGUUUCAAUACUUAGUCCUGAUUCUGUUUUUGGUACUUGAAAACAACCACCUUCAAGUCAUUUCCUCCGCAAGUUGUUUCCUCUGUCUUAUCCCUCUUAGUCUGACUGCUACCUUGCUAAUACAUGACUUACUUAUUAAGCAGUAAUGAAUUACUAAUUAAUUUCAGUAAGAAACAUUGAUGAAUACAAAAACUGGUGGGUUAAAGUAGGACAGUGAACUGAUAUUUGCAAGGUCUUGGAUAAUCACCCCACAAAAUAUUUAGCAAAAACGGAGGACACUGUAACUUUACAAUGGAGAACCUGGUUAUCAUCAAAGCUCUAAGUUAACAUUAGAAAUGGAACUAGUCAACACUACAUGCAAUGAGAUGCAUUGGGAAGAGCAGCAUUACUCCUGUGAUAUACUUGCCAGAAAUGCACACUCUGAGCUUACUCAUGGGGAGGUAACAAACAGAUCCAAUUUGAGGAAUCUUUUACAAUGGCUAGUUGGCAACUUUCAGAAAUAUCAGAGUCAUAACAGUCAAGGGAAGACUGAAGAACUGUUCCAAAUUGAAGGAGACUGGAGAAACAUGACUACUGAAUACAGUACAUGAUCCAGGACUGGAUCCUUAGGCUAUAAACACUGUUGGGGCCACUGAUAAAACCUCAGUAGGGUCGGAGUUAGGGUAUGUGAGAGCACUUCCUGGAUCUUGCAACUUUUCUUCAGUAAGUCUGAACUUGUUACAAAAUACAGUUUGAAAAAUACAAGGCAUAGUGCACAGGCAUUCCUGUUUUGGCUUGCAAUGAUUUCACUGAGAUUUCGCUCAUCUUCAAUCCUAGAAGAUGCCAUAUUCCCUUUACAAUAAGGCCCUCCCCCUUUUUUUUCUUUACUAAUAGGAACCUACCACACCUCUAUGGAUGAAGCUGCAAUUCUGGUCCUUGAAAUCUAAGGCAUAACAAAAGCUUGUGUAAUCAACAAGUCAACCCAAGAAUGAAACUGAGACCACCUGGAUGGGAAGUGGUUCCCAUACCCCCCCAAGCCUAUAGACAAAUUCCUCCUCAGUCCAGACCAAAGUCUGGCAUUUGAGGCUGCAGAUAAAUCAUUGCCUACAAAGGCUUGGACUCACAAUGGAAACCAGAACUCCACUAGUACUCCAUAGUAGACAUAGAACUUGGCUGCCUUGCAGUUUAAAUGCAGCAGAAACUGUUCUAUCCACUAAUACAUACAGAUUCUCAUCUCUAUCAUCAAACCUUGCUUCAGUUACACCUACUUUAAAAACUAUCGGGGCAGCCCGGGUGGCUCAGCGGUUUAGCACUGCCUUCAGCCCAGGGCGCGAUCCUGGACACCUGGGAUCGGAUCCCACGUCAGGCUCCCGGUGCAUGGGGCCUGCUUCUCCCUCUGCCUGUGUCUCUGCCUCUCUCUCUCUCUCUCGAAUGAAUAAAAAAAAAAAAAAAAAAAAAAAAAAAAAAAAAAAAAAAACACCUAUCCCUCCAGCAGCCUAUACUCUUAAGUCAGUGGAGGUCAAGCUUUGCUGAGAAUUUGAAUUAUUAACUAGAGAACCUGGGAACUCUAUAAAAAUCCAAAGGCCCAAGGCCCUUCCCCAUUUCAACAAGCCCGGAUCUCUGUGUUCUUUACAAGUCUCCGAGUGAUUCUGACAAUAGUUUUCAAACAAAAUUUGAGAAAAACUUACACAAGUCAGCAAUGUCAGCACAGCUUCUGCCUUUGCUGCUUUCAUUUUUGCUGAGGCCUCACCAUCACUUUAGGGCCUAGUGCAUGCAGCCCUGCCUCCAGAGAAGAAACAACACCUGUGGGAAAACAGCCACUCACCAGCAACCUGCCAAAAUGAAAAUCCUGUAUGGUCAGCAAAUAAUCAAGAUCAUUUCAGCUUCAAACCCCCAUCUCACCCCACUGGAAUACUCAAUCAUAGCCUCUCUUCCCAGUUUUUGCUCAUUGUCUAGAUAUAGUGCUCCUCACCCAAACACCAAAUAUUUGGGAAUUUUGAAGGGUCCAAUAAAUAGUAUCUCUAUUCCUUACAGCAGUGGUUCUAAACCACAGGUGAUUAUUUUGCCCUCAGAUGGAUGACAUUUGGCAAUACUGGAGCCAUUUUUGUUACAACUGGGGGAAGAAGGGAAGAGGAUGGAUGCUAUUGGCAUCUAGUAGGUAGAAAACAGAGAUGCUGCUAAAUAUCCUGUGAUGCACAGGGUGGCCCACACAACUAAGAAUUAUCCAGACAAAAAUGUCAAUAGCGUCAAGGUCAAGAAACCCUUAUUUAGAGUGGCACCCAUUCGAAGCAAAUUGCAGUGUAAGACAAAAGCAGAAGCAGAUAGGAAUCAUACUAUUAUCUUUAUUAAAGACUAGAUUGAGAUAUGUAUCUGUAGACAAGAACCCCAGUGGAUUCCUCCACCUUGCCACAGACUAGGUAACUGUAUGCCUCCCUAAAUGAGAUCAGGCUUCUCUAAAACUCCCAGCAUGUUGAAGCUAAUAAGAACAUGACCUUUUUGCAGACUAAUUCCUAGGAGAAAAAAAAAUUAAGACCUGGGCAUGACCACCCAUUUCCCAUUGGAUGGUGAGUAAAAGGGUGAAAAGACAGUAUUACACUUGAUCCUCCUCCAAAGAGAAAGAAAUAAUAGGAGGAAAGCAUUUCCCAAAAAGGGUUAGAAGUGGUAGGGUAAAGCAACAGGCUCCUAGCAGCUCCUGAGAACCAACUGUUAAAUCUUUGGGAGGUUUGGAAGCUACUUGUUAAAUCCUCGGCAGCUUGAAAUCAGCCACAGCAGGAGUGCUUAGACCAUGAAAAUAAAAAAUAUAUAUACAAAGCAGUGCUUUGGUUUUUGGAAAACAAAAUUGAAUUUAAAAAAUGAAGAAAAAAGAAAGUUGGAUCCUUUUUUGUGGAGACACUAAAAUUGAAGAUAGAUACAGGAUGCAAAAGAAACCAAAAAAACAAAAAUAUAAUCAUAGUAAAGAAGGUCUUUCUAAUCCAGGUAUACCAAUGACAAAAAUCAUAAAGGAGGAGAUUAACAUAUGACUACAUAAAAAUACAUUAUUUAUGUCCAAAAAAAGUACCAAUAACAGGUAAACUAUACACUGGGGAAGUUAUCUGCAAAAUUCAUAAGAGUAACCUCAUAACAAUUCUUACAAAUUUGUAAGAAAAAGAAUUGCAAUGGCAAAAGCCGCAUAUAAGUAAUUCAUAAAAUAUUAGAAUCCAAAAUUAAUAAAGAAAACUUUAAACAUACCAGGUUUUGCCUAUCACAGUGGCAAAGUGAGAAGAUAGAACGUAGCCAAUGUUGGGAAGUAUGUAAAGAGUACUAUGGGGAAAAAAAAAUACCAUGAAAAACUGCUAGCAAAGUGUAGUGUACAUUUUGUUGGAAACAUGACUAUUAUCCUUGACCUCCCGUUAUGAAUUUAUUCUAGGAACGAUAAAAAUGUAUAAAGAUUUAGACUACUAUGACCAAUAAUAAAGAUAG